rnacentral:rRNA from 1 species
CCCCUAGAUGUUCUGGGCCGCACGCGCGCUACACUGAUGCAUUCAACAAGCCUAGCCUUGACCGAGAGGUCCGGGUAAUCUUUGAAACUGCAUCGUGAUGGGGCUAGAUUAUUGCAAUUAUUAAUCUUCAACGAGGAAUGCCUAGUAAGCGUGAUUCAUCAAAUCGCGUUGAUUACGUCCCUGCCCUUUGUACACACCGCCCGUCGCACCUACCGAUUGAAUGGUCCGGUGAAAUCUCGGGACGGCGGCUUGGUCGCUUGCGUCCGACUGCUGAAACUUGAUUAAACCAUAUCAUUUAGAGGAAGGUGAAGUCGUAACA